rnacentral:piRNA from 7 species
GGUUCAGUGGUAGAAUUCUCGCCUG